GUUAUGCCUAUUGUUAUUUUGGACUAUAGGGUGUAGUUUUUAAAGUCAUACACAAUAUGGCGGCGAUUAUGCGGAAAUGAAAUUGAAUGUUACUUCGAACACGUUCUUCUACAAAAUAACCGACCUGUAUUUAGUGCUAUUGCUUUAACAUCAAUCGGAGCAAAAAUGGCAUCAAUGUAUGCGUCUAAAAAUGUUAAAUUUAGAUGGAGACAAUCCAGAAAUGAGCUGCCAGGAAGUGAUCGAUUUCGGACACGAAGGCCAUGUUCUUUUGUAAACUUUCUGAUUGAGAAUUGCCUGGAUACAAGGCUAGUAUUGUCAACAUCAUCUGAUACAAUCAACUGGAACAAAGCUGAAAUGGCUACCUGACCUGACUUAAAAAUUGGAUGGCAGGACAUCAGACUAGAAGAUUACAAGUAUUGAGGUGGACAAAAUGAAACCUGAGCCUACCAAAGCUGACAGAUUGCACAAGAAACACAUAAAUGCAGAUUGGAAGAUUCAUUCUCUGGAAAGUAGAAAAGGGCAUGUUACAUACUGUUAUCACUGCCAUGACAGAAACCAUAUUGAGGAGCUGGUCCACCUGUAGGAAGAAUUGCGCUAUUAGUUGGAGCAGCACUAUAUCCCAGCCAUACACCAGCACUUAGUUUGUCAUAGGGAGCAUUUCUGAGCAGUUAUGGAGACCAAUAACUAUGCAGUUGUUGCAAUGAAACUUGCACCAGUGUGUUUUCUGUGGAGAUAAAGAGAUAGUGUCCAGCAAUGAAGACCCAACUCAAGAUCUGACCUUGUAAGGCCAAUAUGAAAUAACUGUGUGGGAAAAUGGGAAAAACCUGCAGUCAGGAAUGCACGGAAAUCAUCAAAAGAUCAGUGUUAAAUUAAUCUUGAAUAACUUGACAUUUAUUUUGUUUGACAUAUUUAUUCAUGGUGCAGUGAUGGUUAUUUAAAUUUAGAAUUGAUAGGAGGGAACAUCACUAUGUAGUUUCAUGUUCAUAGUCAGAUCAAAACCCAUGUACAUGCCCAAAUGAGCAUUCGAAAAUAUCAAAAUGGUACUUGUUGUAUGUAGUGUAAGUUAAUUAACAUAAUAAACAAAAAUAUUUAAUCAA